CUUCGGGUAUUGAGGAUGGCGGACGGGUGAGUAACGCGUAAGGAAUUUGCCUCUUGGUCUGGGACAACUGUUGGAAACGACAGCUAAUACCGGAUAUUAUGAGAUUCUCGCAUGGGAAACUUAUGAAAGCUAUAUGCGCCAAGAGAGAGCCUUGCGUUCCAUUAGCUAGUUGGUGGGGUAACGGCCCACCAAGGCGACGAUGGAUAGCCGGCCUGAGAGGGUGAACGGCCACAAGGGGACUGAGACACGGCCCUUACUCCUACGGGAGGCAGCAGUGGGGAAUAUUGGACAAUGGGCCACAAGCCUGAUCCAGCAAUUCUGUGUGCACGAUGAAGGUCUUCGGAUUGUAAAGUGCUUUCAGUUGGGAAGAAGAAAGUGACGGUACCAACAGAAGAAGCGACGGCUAAAUACGUGCCAGCAGCCGCGGUAAUACGUAUGUCGCAAGCGUUAUCCGGAUUUAUUGGGCGUAAAGCGCGUCUAGGCGGAAAAAUAAGUCUGAUGUUAAAAUGCGGGGCUCAACUCCGUAUUGCGUUGGAAACUGUUUUUCUAGAGUACUGGAGAGGUGGGCGGAACUACAAGUGUAGAGGUGAAAUUCGUAGAUAUUUGUA
rnacentral:rRNA from 1 species